UACGGGGGGGGUAAGCGUUGUUCGGAAUUACUGGGCGUAAAGGGUUCGUAGGCGGCCAACUAAGUCGGACGUGAAAUCCCUCAGCUUAACUGGGGAACUGCGUCCGAUACUGGAUGGCUUGGAUUUGGGAGAGGGAUGCGGAAUUCCAGGUGUAGCGGUGAAAUGCGUAGAUAUCUGGAGGAAUACCGGUGGCGAAGGCGGCAUCCUGGACCGAGAUUGACGCUGAUGAGCGAAAGCUAGGGGAGCAAACGGG
rnacentral:rRNA from 1 species